rnacentral:rRNA from 1 species
AUGAACGCUAGCGACAGGCUUAACACAUGCAAGUCGAGGGGCAGCACAGGUAGCAAUACCGGGUGGCGACCGGCGCACGGGUGAGUAACGCGUAUGCAACUUGCCUAUCAGAGGGGGAUAACCCGGCGAAAGUCGGACUAAUACCGCAUGAAGCAGGGGCCCCGCAUGGGGAUAUUUGCUAAAGAUUCAUCGCUGAUAGAUAGGCAUGCGUUCCAUUAGGCAGUUGGCGGGGUAACGGCCCACCAAACCGACGAUGGAUAGGGGUUCUGAGAGGAAGGUCCCCCACAUUGGUACUGAGACACGGACCAAACUCCUACGGGAGGCAGCAGUGAGGAAUAUUGGUCAAUGGCCGAGAGGCUGAACCAGCCAAGUCGCGUGAGGGAUGAAGGUUCUAUGGAUCGUAAACCUCUUUUAUAAGGGAAUAAAGUGCGGGACGUGUCCCGUUUUGUAUGUACCUUAUGAAUAAGGAUCGGCUAACUCCGUGCCAGCAGCCGCGGUAAUACGGAGGAUCCGAGCGUUAUCCGGAUUUAUUGGGUUUAAAGGGUGCGUAGGCGGCCCUUUAAGUCAGCGGUGAAAGUCUGUGGCUCAACCAUAGAAUUGCCGUUGAAACUGGGGGGCUUGAGUAUGUUUGAGGCAGGCGGAAUGCGUGGUGUAGCGGUGAAAUGCAUAGAUAUCACGCAGAACCCCGAUUGCGAAGGCAGCCUGCCAAGCCAUUACUGACGCUGAUGCACGAAAGCGUGGGGAUCAAACAGGAUUAGAUACCCUGGUAGUCCACGCAGUAAACGAUGAUCACUAGCUGUUUGCGAUACACUGUAAGCGGCACAGCGAAAGCGUUAAGUGAUCCACCUGGGGAGUACGCCGGCAACGGUGAAACUCAAAGGAAUUGACGGGGGCCCGCACAAGCGGAGGAACAUGUGGUUUAAUUCGAUGAUACGCGAGGAACCUUACCCGGGUUUGAACGCAUUCGGACCGAGGUGGAAACACCUUUUCUAGCAAUAGCCGUUUGCGAGGUGCUGCAUGGUUGUCGUCAGCUCGUGCCGUGAGGUGUCGGCUUAAGUGCCAUAACGAGCGCAACCCUUGCCACUAGUUACUAACAGGUAAAGCUGAGGACUCUGGUGGGACUGCCAGCGUAAGCUGCGAGGAAGGCGGGGAUGACGUCAAAUCAGCACGGCCCUUACAUCCGGGGCGACACACGUGUUACAAUGGCGUGGACAAAGGGAAGCCACCUGGCGACAGGGAGCGAAUCCCCAAACCACGUCUCAGUUCGGAUCGGAGUCUGCAACCCGACUCCGUGAAGCUGGAUUCGCUAGUAAUCGCGCAUCAGCCAUGGCGCGGUGAAUACGUUCCCGGGCCUUGUACACACCGCCCGUCAAGCCAUGGGAGCCGGGGGUACCUGAAGUCCGUAACCGCGAGGAUCGGCCUAGGGUAAAACUGGUGACUGGGGCU